GAUGAACAUUUUAAGUUUUAUUAAACAAGAGCAAACAAUAUAUAACAGUCUACAACAAUUUAACAAGUAAAACUGUCUGUUUAUACAUGUAUAAAACUGUAACCAUUGAUUCCCUGAAUGCAAGUUCUAUACAACAACUCUGUUUAUAUAAAUCCAAUCCCUGCCUUGAAAACAACUGUAAAAUUUUAUGUUUCACAAAGCUUCUAAUAACCACUCUCUGUAAUUUAUUUUGAGGAUAUUUUCUAUGCCAUGACUGAUACUGUUAGGAAAAUUUGAUGUUGGUCAAUCAUUCAGUUUAGAAGAAUGUCUGAUAAAUUUUAAAUUUACGUUGGAAAAGAGUUAUUACUGAAGUUGUGAAUUUUCAUCUAAUCAGAAAGCCCACCUAGCCAAAAUCGUCAUGAUAUUUUUUUUCGUGACUUGGUGUCUGAUUUCAUUGUAAUGGGACAAGGCAUGCCUCCAAGGGACAAAAUAUAAGUUAAACUAAAAAGGUUUUGUUCCUAGCAAUAAAAUAUACCAGUAUCAGUAUAUAUGAUACAGGAAUACGUCAUUUUAUGAUAUGCACAGUUUUCAAGACAUUUAUUAGUGAAUGAUAUGGAAGGAUGAUGCACUUUUCUGGUUGAGAAAAUGUCUAGUAUUAGUAAAAUAUAAGGAUCUACCUAAGACAAUAAAUGAUGACUUCAUAUGGUAUAGAAAUGGGAAUCUGAACCAUUUUUGAAAGAUGUAACCCCAUAUAACAUGAGGUGGAGGGGCACAACACCCAGUGAUAAGUUUUAAGCUGCAUUGUAAUGGUCUUGCAUUCCAACAAAGGAUACAAAAGGUUUUAGAUUGGACUUUUAAAAAAUCUGUUAUUUGACCUUGAAAUUCAAAGGUCAAGGUUCAUUUUUAAAUGAUAAACAACAUAGUGUAUUGAGAUGAUGCACUUAUGUGUCAAAUCAGUUAUAAAAGGAUAAAAGGUAUAUUCUCGUCAGAAGAAAAUGUUCCCAAAAAUCAAUAAUUUUGACCUUGCUGUAAAAGGUUGAGUCAGAUAAAUGUCAUGAUAUGUGACCCAUUGUCUUACACAUGUUAAUACACAUUUGUUUACGAUUUCACAGUUUAAAGAUAAAAAAAAAAGUUUUUGUUCCUACAAGAUUUUAUGAGAAUCAGAAUGCAAUAUGCAUUACAAAAAAGGCAAGUUUGGUAGUUCACCACAAUAUUGGAU
rnacentral:lncRNA from 1 species